AAGUCGUAACAAGGUUUCCGUAGGUGAACCUGCGGAAGGAUCAUUAACACGUAUCCAAACGUUAACCCCCCUGUGAACCUUUAGUGUGCUCGUACGCUUUGUCAGAGCGUGGCAAUCCAUAGUAAAUCAUCGCCGAACAGUUUUCGAUUUAGGGACUUCCACAAAGAGUGUGCUCGCAGCGCGAGGCAAGUGAUCGUUGGAGGCCGACACGGCCGACGACCGGGUCACCGGGCUCACGCCCCUUAAUCACAACUUAAUGCAUGUCAGACGCGCCUGCGCUUAAUUGUGCGGCGACCAUAAAACUCGAACAACUGUUAACAAUGGAUAUCUUGGUUCUC
rnacentral:misc_RNA from 1 species